rnacentral:rRNA from 1 species
GACGAACGCUGGCGGCGUGCCUAAUACAUGCAAGUUGAGCGAUGAAGCUUGGUGCUUGCACCAAUUUGAAGAGCAGCGAACGGGUGAGUAACGCGUGGGGAAUCUGCCUUUGAGCGGGGGACAACAUUUGGAAACGAAUGCUAAUACCGCAUAACAACUUUAAACAUAAGUUUUAAGUUUGAAAGAUGCAAUUGCAUCACUCAAAGAUGAUCCCGCGUUGUAUUAGCUAGUUGGUGAGGUAAAGGCUCACCAAGGCGAUGAUACAUAGCCGACCUGAGAGGGUGAUCGGCCACAUUGGGACCGAGACACGGCCCAAACUCCUACGGGAGGCAGCAGUAGGGAAUCUUCGGCAAUGGACGAAAGUCUGACCGAGCAACGCCGCGGGAGGGAAGAAGGUUUUCGGAUCGUAAAACUCUGUUGGUAGAGAAGAACGUUGGUGAGAGUGGAAAGCUCAUCAAGUGACGGUAACUACCCAGAAAGGGACGGCUAACUACGUG